rnacentral:rRNA from 1 species
UACGUAGGUGGCAAGCGUUGUUCGGAAUUACUGGGCGUAAAGCGCGUGUAGGCGGCUCUUCAAGUCAGGCGUGAAAGCCCCGGGCUUAACUCGGGAACUGCGCUUGAUACUGUCGAGCUAGAGUGUGGAAGGGGCGAUUGGAAUUCCGUGUGUAGCGGUGAAAUGCGUAGAUAUACGGAGGAACACCAGAGGCGAAGGCGGAUCGCUGGGCCAACACUGACGCUGAGACGCGAAAGCUAGGGGGAGCAAACGG